AGAGAGAUUGUAGACAUUUUCAAUUUUCAAAUAUGAUUGAAUUGUUAGUAAAAACAUGGCAGCAUGUCUCAAGCUUCCAAUUUCUCUGUACUUAUUUACAUAAAUAAUUUUUGGUAGGGUGGGUACUGAAUUGUUCUUUCUAUAAAUUAUUAUUCAGUAGCAGAAUGAAUAUAUAUAUAUGAUACAUCCACAAAUUCAAGGUUUAGAUAUUUUAAGCAUUGCUUCUUAUUGUAAUUAUAAUCUUUUGAUUACAAAAUAUUUAUGUUUUUCUAAUCUUUUGAUUGCAAAAUAUUUACCUUUUUCUUAGUUACUUCAUUAGCUUAUAUACUUGCAAUAAAUCAAAAUGCAAUUUAAGAUGCCAGUGGCCAGCAGGUGUGCUCUUUAUUUUCCAAUUGUCAACAUCAUAUCUAGCACUUCUGCAAGUUAUUAUCUGACCUCACUGAUAUUUGUAUUUCUCUACCUUCUUGUAGAUUUGUUCAGGUUUUUCUUUUAUUAUAAAUUUCCAUAUAUACUGUCUUCUCAGUAUUCUUUCUUCAUUUUACAAUUUUUUUAACUGUUUCAGAUUGUUCAUGCCAUGAUACAAAUGACACUUGAAAAUUUCUUAUUUUACUCUUGUGCCAUUUAUCCUUAAGAUUCAGAACAGAAAUACACUUCAUUUGUUGCAUAGAUUGGCCAUAAUCAGGUGAUGCUUGUUUUCCCACAUUGGUUUGGGAUAAAAUGCUUGUGCUACAUAUAGGAUUUGGGCAAACCUCCUCCCCUUGAUCUAGCUUUUGGGAUAGAGUUAGGUCCGGUCUAUUUCUCUACAUGAUAUUAAAAUCUAAAAUCUAUCUGCUUUAAUAUUGGACUACGUGCAAAUGUGUUUGCCUGCAAAUUUUAUGUUUCAGAUGUUCAUACCUGAGCGUGAAGGAGUGAGUUAUCUCACAUUAGUUUGGGAUAAGAUGCUUGUGCUAUAUAUAUAUAUAUAUCCUAAGUAAUCCUCCUCCCCUUGAACUAGCUUCUAGGAUGGAGUUAAGCUUGAUUUAUUUUCUUUACAAUGCUAGAUUGUACAUCUAUUUGCCACUUCGAAAGUCUGGGUGGAUGAAGUGCUUUAUUCGAAGCCUUGUAUGUUCAAUUAUCUUACAUAGAACAUGGAUUAAAAACCUUUUUACCCCUUCUUUUAAUAAGUCAGAUUAUUCAUGUACUGGAAGACAAUCUUGAUAUUAUUGUUUCCAACCAGUCAAAUUUCUUGUUGUAGCUUGGCGCACAGCCGCUCGAUGCU
rnacentral:misc_RNA from 1 species